rnacentral:lncRNA from 1 species
CUUUUGACAAGAGGUCAGACACCCUACAAAUCUAGGUUAACAUUCCUAACACUCAUUAAAUGUGCACAUCACAUCAAUCAACUCUGGGGAGGCACUUGCCAGACUCUCUUAUGAUUGUUGAGAACUUCGGACAAUCAAAGAGUUCAGUUCUGAAAGUGAAACGACCUCGGUGUCCAAUGUGACAACUUCGAAUGUUGAUUCCUUCUGCAAGUUCUUGUAUGCUUGCCACGUGUAUGAAUGUGUGGAAUCCACGUGGGUCAUUUCGUAUAAUUAGUGACAAUUGUCUCCCAAUUCUAUGUACGAUCAUUCAUGUGGUACAUAGAAUUUAUAAUCUCUUGAUCAACUUUAGACAAGAGGCCAUUUUCGGAGGUCAACAAAAGUAAAUAUUAGCCCUACCUUACUGCUGGAGAAUAGUUCUUGGCCUGGAUCAUUCUGCCAAGAUCACCUGUCCUCUACAUAAACUAAAGCAAAUAUGAAAUCUACAACCUGAUGUCGUCGCUCUUCAAUUUUUGCAUCAAUUUUCUAUUCUUUCCCCAAGGUUCCACAAAACUCCAAAGAAAGACAUGAAGAAAAAAAUUAAAUACAUCAAAAUAGAGAUGAAGAAAAUGGAACCACAAAAUACAAAAUAAGAAUAUGAGAAGAACAUACUUUAGGUCACGGAACUCUAAUUUCUG